rnacentral:tRNA from 1 species
AUUAUUUUGGCAGAUUAGUGCAAUUGAUUUAGAAUCUUUAAAUAUGAUUAUUCAUAAAUAAUA